CUCCCGCCGCCCAUGAUGUGCCUGGAAAGCGACGGCUCCUCCGGCAGCAGCCCGGGCUGCGGCGGGCGGCUCCGAGCCGGCGACGAGGAGGAGGAGGAAGACGGCGAGCGGGGCUGCUGCGGCCGCGGCGCCGAGGGCGAGGUGCAGACCCUGUCGGGCCGCAUGAACCCGCCGGCGGUCGCCAAGAUCCCCGAGCGCCCGGCCGCCCGCCACAAGGCGCCGAGCCUGGGCCGGGCCCGCGUGGCGGCCGCGGGCAUCCUCAGCGUGGGCAACGUGCUCAACUACCUGGACCGGUACACGGUGGCAGGUGUGUUACUAGACAUCCAGCAGCACUUUGGAGUCAAAGACAGUGGGGCUGGCUUGUUACAGACAGUUUUCAUCUGCAGUUUCAUGGUUGCAGCACCUAUCUUUGGUUACCUUGGCGAUCGUUUCAACAGGAAGAUCAUUCUCAGCUGUGGGAUCUUCUUUUGGUCAGCGGUCACUUUUUCAAGCUCCUUCAUCACUGAACAGUAUUUCUGGCUUCUCGUGCUCUCACGAGGUUUGGUGGGCAUCGGGGAAGCAAGUUACUCCACUAUUGCUCCAACCAUCAUAGGAGACCUUUUCACCAAAAACACAAGGACCCUUAUGCUGUCUGUUUUCUACUUUGCAAUUCCUCUUGGCAGUGGCUUGGGAUACAUCACUGGGUCAAGCGUGAAACAGGUUGCUGGAGACUGGCAUUGGGCAUUGCGGGUAUCACCACUCCUGGGUAUGAUAACAGGGACGCUCAUCUUGAUAUUUGUACCUGCUGCUAAAAGAGGAAAUGUUGAACAAUUCGGGGGACAGCUGAAAGCUCGGAGCUCGUGGCUAAGAGACAUGAAGGCACUGAUUAGAAACCGCAGCUACGUUUUCUCAUCACUGGCCACCUCAGCUGUCUCGUUUGCUACAGGGGCACUCGGCAUGUGGAUCCCUCUCUACCUUCACAGAGCACAGGUUGUGCAGAAAACAGCGGAGACCUGCAGCUCUCAGCCCUGUGGCACCAAAGAUAGCUUGAUCUUCGGAGCAAUCACAUGUUUCACUGGUUUCCUGGGUGUAAUCACAGGGGCCGGGGCAACCAAAUGGUGCCGAUUAAAAACCCAGCGCGCUGAUCCUCUUGUCUGUGCUGUCGGCAUGCUGGGAUCCGCCAUCUUCAUCUGUCUGAUCUUCGUUGCUGCCAAAAGCAGCAUUGUGGGAGCCUAUAUUUGCAUUUUUAUUGGAGAAACUCUUCUGUUUUCAAACUGGGCUAUCACAGCAGACAUACUAAUGUAUGUGGUCAUCCCAACACGCCGUGCAACCGCAGUGGCCUUGCAGAGUUUCACCUCGCACCUCCUGGGAGAUGCUGGCAGUCCUUAUCUGAUUGGAUUUAUCUCAGACCUGAUACGACAAAGCACAAAGGAGUCCCCGCUCUGGGAGUUCCUCAGCUUGGGGUAUGCACUCAUGCUCUGCCCGUUUGUCGUUGUCCUAGGAGGGAUGUUUUUCCUGGCCACAGCCCUCUUCUUCCUAAGUGAUCGAGCCAAAGCUGAACAACAGGUGAAUCAACUUGUGUUGCCACCGGCCUCCGUGAAAGUCUGAGACGGUGAGUGACCCAAAGCAGCAGCUGCUGUCCCUCCCUGGGGUGGCACUGGGGAAGCAGAUGUGGUGCUAGGACAGGAGGUUCUCAUUUCUGCCAGUCCACUUGCUGGAAUACCUUCCUUCACUGCAAGGCCAUAUGCUCUUCCCCAUGCCAGUGUUUACCACCAAAGGCAGAAACUUGAGGCUCCCAUGUCUCAGUGCUCUACAGCGAGGGUACUGGCAUCGCUGUGGGAUGGAUGGACUGGACUGGACACUGUUCUUCAGGGUGCAGUUGCCAGUGAAGGAAAUCACAUGUGGACUCCUGCUCCCACCAUCACACUGAUCUCAAGCUGGAAGCCCUCCCGUACUGGAAAUGGGUGGACCCUCCAGCUCCACGCCACCCUGGAAGGGUUAUCCAGCGCCAACCCAAUCAUGCCUGCGGGCCCAGGUGCCAGGAGAUGAGUGGGGCAGCCUGGAACACAGUGCUUCUUGAGCAUGAGGACGUUCACAGGUUCCGCUGAGCAUCGAGAACAACUGUCCGCUGGACCCACAAUGUGCUACCCAAGUGAGUGACUGUAGAUUGUGUAUAUGAUUUUAGUUGUAGCCAAUGAAGUACGCAUUAUUUAUAGGGCACCUUCCGUCCUAUUGAAUGCUGCUGUUCUGCCAGCACUCCCGCACCCAGAGACUGCUCUAGUUGGGGACCUUUUCUGUACAUCACGUUUUCUUUAACACUGAAGGCUCAAGUCAGAUUUUUCUUUUUUUUUAAUUUAAAUAUGUCAUAAGAUGCUUUAUCUCUACUGAAGAUAUUAGAUAUCAGAUAUCUCUCUCUCUCUCUCUCUCUAUAUAUAUAUAUAUUUAGAUAAACAAUUUUUAUUUAAAUAUUGGAAAUCUGGAGCUGCCUGUGCAACCAUACCAGACAUAAAUACAUCCACAAUCUCCUCAUCUCAGUGCCCUGCUAUUGGGCACUACAGGAAGGCUUACAGUGGAUGACAACCUGUCACUUGAGGCUGAGCAAGGGGACAGAGGAGAGAGUUUCACUGCACUGGGUAUGCUGGUGGUUGUUACAGAAAGACCCAGAAGAAACUUAGACAGAAAUACCUAGGGCCUCCAGCGUUUGCUCAGUAUACUAAAUUCAGUCUUGCCUGGGAGGUUCACAGGUUUUUAAAAUACCAAAAUCUGUAAGGCUUUACCUAGAGCCUGGUAUUGUAAUACUGCGGUGCCGGUGAUGACAUGCUUUGUUUACGUGCAUAUCAUGUUACCCGUAUCGUACGUGCUAAUUCUCCCUCCAUCAGUAUCUUCCGAGCAGGCGGCCGAUACUCUGCAGUAACUGUUCCCUUGGGAACAACGGUUAGCUUUUAAUGCACAUACGUUGGGGUGUCAGUUUUAGUCACUUUUAUCUUAAUGAAGAUGCACUUGAGAUUGUUAAUAGGUGAAGCCAGUGUCUGAACUCCUUUAGAUUCUCAGAUGCUGAGUACAGUAUAUCUGUAAAGCAGUCAGUGCCAUUUCACAGCAGACUCUUGUUUCCUGCACUUGAGCUCCUCAAGCCAAAUUUACACUAUGUCAGCUUGAAGCUGUGACAGUUUGGGGAAGGAAGGAGAGCUUGGGUCCUGGAGAAAGAGCCACGUUCCAGAAACAGCGCACUGGGUCAGUGCUCCCCUACCCUCUUAUUUCUGUUUCAGAGAUGGCUCCGGUAGCUUAGAUGCUUCCCUCCAGUUCAGCACACACCUCUAAUAGGUGCAUGCACCUCACUCUUGUGCUCGUGUUUAACAACGUGGCCGUUGCUGGGGGGAAGUAGGACUAAUUCAGCAAAGGAAAUGCCAAAGCAAGACUGGAUAGGAUGCAAGUAAGCCUGGAAGAUAGCUCUCCUGAAUGUGGCAUGAAUUUGUUCACAGAGACAUGGGAAGGUACUGUUAGUAAAUCUCCCACUCAUUUCCAGUGAUGUGCAGUGAUCUACACUGCAGGAUUGUAGUAGAGAUGGUGAGUGAUUCCAGUUACCAGCAGACUGGUCAACAUUCACUGCAACAGCCAGUCUCUGCCGAGGUAGAUGUGUUUUAAUAGUGGUUCCUAUAAAACAUAAACAUUUCCUCCUUAUGAAACUCCAUAAGACUCUUCUGCAAAGGCUGUUGUCACCUAAAAUCCCUUAACAAUAGCUUUAAGGUUUCGCUAAACAAUUAGAGCUAGAAAUUUUUCUCAAGCUCCUGGAUUAUCCUCUGGAGGACAGCAAAUGCCUGCUAGAAAUAAAGCAAAGUAAAUCCAAAACAAUGCUUCAUUUCCCACCUCGUGCCACUAUUUACAUUGGUGGGAAAGUGCCAACUCUGUAGUCCGACAGCCAAAUGCCUGGCUUUAAAUGCACAUGAAUUUCUGAUUCCUAUUAAGAAGUUCCGUGUUAGCCUGUAUAAAAAGAAACAAAAAGCAACCCAGCGAUUAGUCACUUCAUCUCAGAGACCAAAGGACAGUUAGCUACAUUUCUAAGUUGCUUUUCUGAUAAAUGCUGCAGCUGAAAGGCAGCCUAUCACCAACAAAACAGCAUUUCUGCUAAAGCUCAGAGGUUAGGAAUUGUCCUAAAACUUAGUUCUCAGCAGUGAACAAUGAAACGGAAACUUGUGUUUUUGGAAUUUCACUAGCUCUCCUUGUUUAUGACAAGCUUCGAUCCUUGUUAGAGCAGCACAGCCCUGUUGCAGGAGGCUAGCUUGAUCUUCUGUGAAUACGGAGGAAAUUGCUGCUCCCACGUGUUCCAGGCUGAGAGAGGGAAGAUAAAGCAACAGCUACGAGCGCUCCAAGGGCAGUGAACAGGAGAGCGGAAAGAAAACUCUGCCUUUCCACUUCCUGCACACGCUGCUGCCUCUCUAUGGCUUGAUGACCCAUAUUCAAUCAGUUAGAAAUUGAAAAAAUGGUUUCUUGGUGAGUGUUUCUUAUUUUAGCUGUAUUCCAAGCUGGAAGAACUGUUCAGUUAGAGCUUCUAUAAAAUUUUCUGUCUAUUAGAGGGACACCAGCUCACUUGGAUCAAAGUCCUUGGGAAUAAGGCAUUAAUAGGUACAAGUUUGGUCAUGAAACCUACAUAUUACUGAACAGAAAGUGGGCAGAUGUUGCCAUAUAAGCUCUCUUCCUUGGGUUGCAAUAUACUAUUUCCUUUCCUAGCCUCACCUGCACCAGUAUGUGACUCUCAGAAAGUCACUACUUGCACCUCAGUUUCUGUAUGUACAAAACUGAGAUCCUCACCGCUGAGAUGCUGUAUAAACAAGCAGUGUUGUGCGUCUGUACUCUAGUAGAGGCUGGAAGCUCUCCACUAUUAAAAGAUGAGUUAGCAUAUUGCAUUCUACUGUGCAGAGCUCUGGACUUAGCAUGCAGUAUUGUGCUCCUUUCCCUUAUGACUCCACAUGUAAUAAUUUUAUGUAGGUAUAGAUGUAAUCGGGCUUGGAAGCUUUUAGGGCAGUUUUGGUUGAACAGUACAGGAGCAAUGAAAAGAUCUUUAGUAUAUGUAUAGGAAGCAUUUCUGGAAUGAGAGUAAAAUCUGCAAAUAUGACCCAUUUACUGAGUUUAAAUACUGCUUAUAAUUUUAAUGGGGAUUGUUAUGCAGCUUUGACAUAUUUGUUUUGUUUUUUUUUUUGUUGUUGAUGUUAUUUUUUUUAUAAAGAAAGGCUGUUAAUGGGAAAAGAUAAAUUAGCUCUUGAUCAAGAAUCCACAUAUUUUAGCAUCCAUAUUAACAAGAGGAGUAAGGUUUGAGCUCAUCACUUAAAUAUACAGUUGUUCAGGUCAAAGGCUAUGUUUGUGGUUCUGAACUUCAACAUAAAAUUUAAUAGUACCAAUAAGGACAGAAAUACCUGUAAAGCCACUGAUCCCUUGUACAUUAAUGACUGCGCAUGAAUGUCUGAAAAUCAGUGUACAUAAAAAGGAGCCCUUGACUUCACUUGAAAAUGGGAAAAUGCCACCCAAAGGGAGAAGGCAGUACGCCUGCCCUCCCCUCCCCGCGCUCCGCAGUACCUGCUGCCUCGCUGCGCUCUUCAGGGCUGCAGCUGCUCCCUCCCCGGUGCUCUGCUCCUUCCCCACCUCUGCCUUCACGCUGAUCGUCUCCGAUGCCUUGCCGCAGGGUGCGGGCUCCUUCCACCAGCUCAGCGCUCCUCGGCUCCUCCAGCAUGACGUGCAGCCUCCUGCGUUCACCCAGGCCUGUGCCCGGGCGUGCAGGGGUAGGGCGGCCGGAGCGCCCUGGGGAGGGCGCAGAAAGCCCUUCAGUCGAUCACAAGGGCUUUCUUCUACUCCAUUUCCUAAAGGGUUUGUUUUUUUUUUGUUUGUUUGUUUUUUGUUUUUUUUAAGCAGUCAUUAACUCCCUCCACAGCUAAUGCUGCAUUUGCACCAAUGCACCCGCUAGAGAAGCGAUUAGGCUGCUCGCACACAGCAGGAGGAGUAGAGGUAAUGGGAACUGCAAAGAGAGGCGAGAGAAUUGGCCCCAAAGCAGCAAGCUGCCAGCCUCAGUGACUGUAAUGCCUCCGGCUGACAGAGCGAGAGUCCAGGUGACCCCCAACAGCCUCUAUAGCCUUUUAUAUACUAGCUAAGAACGAACCUCAGGGUGACAAAACCCUAUUAAGUGAACAGAUGUACUCUGGAAAGCAGAGUUCCUCUCUGCACCCUCUGUCCUAACUGUGUCGUUUCUUCUCUGUUUGCUUUAUUGUUUGGUAAACCAGCACUUACAAUCACUUUUACUAUGUGAUGUAUGGGAGUAUAUAGUGUAUUUUCUUGUCAUACAAGCGAGGAGUAUAAAAUAGUUUUCUGAUUUUUUUCAGAAGCAAAUGACUAUUUUAUUUUUUAAGAGCAACUGAUUGUGAAUCUCAGAGUAUAAGAAAAAGAGAAAU